rnacentral:lncRNA from 1 species
UGAAAUUUGCCCUGUGGUUGUACGCUAGGCCAUAAAGCUUUCAAGAUUGAUUGAAUGAAGAGGUCUCAUAAUUAAAACUUAUUUUUCAUUCUCUAGCAGCAGCAGAACCUGUGAGUGACCCAGGGAUUGAUCAAGCCCUCAGUGGUGCUGAACUGUCUGGCAGUUUCGAUAUAGGCUUACUCUGAAGACCAGUGGAACCAGAGGACUGUCACCAUGCCACCAGCUGCAUUUCUACUGUCAUCACAGUCAAGUGCUUUGACUCAUCCUCCACACUAAUGAAACUCAUAGGAGGAUUCACUUGAGUCAGUUCCUUAACUCUGGCUCACUGAGUUUCCCUGUUGAGUGUUUUGCUGCUUGGAAAAUGGGAGGAACAGCUAUCGAUGCAUCCCACUAAGAAAGUAGAGAGCAGAAGACAGAUGCAUAAGCAGAAAAUGGAUUGCCAACACUGUUGUCACAUUAAGCACGUGUGGUACAAAAGGAUCUAGCAGGAUGGAAAGUGAGAAAUGCAUCCUCAGGUCCAGGCGAGCCCCUUGCCACAUGCCAUUCUUCAUUUAAAGGGCAACCCUCUUCUGUUAAUCUCUCAGAUUAACCCCUCACUGCCUGUGUAUCGGUGGGAAGAACCGUUCACGUGGUCGUAUCUCAGAGUUUUGCUUCUGGUCCAGAGACGAUGCCUGGGACUGGAGUAGGAGCCACCCAAUUGUGACAAGCGGUCCCCAGGGACAAAGGUCUUUGUUGUGAACACUCCAAGACAAUACGGAACUGCACAGUCCCCAGGGCAAAAUCAGGGCUGCCCUCCAAGGGGAGUGAUCGCAGGGGCAGAGACCCCCACCUGUUGAUCUCCUCCUUCCCGGGGCGAGCGGCAACCUGCAUUGUGCUUGGGACGCAUGCGUUUCUACACCAGCCUCAGCAGAUGGCGCCGGUGAGCAAAGCCAUUCCCUUCCCUCUCCCGCCCCUCCCCACCGCCAGAGCCUCGCUGGUCUAAAGCGAAAACAGAUGUUUUCAUCAUUUCUGGAUCUGGCAUGUGACUUGCAGUUCAGCAGUGUGCCG